AGUGGACCGAUGAAAACCUCCAGAAGCUGUACGCUGCAAUGAAAAGCAACCUCCCCGAGCAGAGCAGAACGUGCUCUUACUUCAGGGUACUGAAAGGUCUGGACUGGACUACGGUGGCUUUCCCUCCUUUCUCUGCUGAAGAGUGCCAAGCAAAGUGGGGACAAGUUUUGCACAAGUAGGCACGAAACGACACCUUCCAAAAAUGCAGCUUUUACUACAGAUGCGCAAGUAUCGGUCCCUCACAGAGCUCAUAGACGAAGCUGAAUGUGUCCUUUCAAAUACUCACCAACAAAGUGAGGCUGUAGUGAAAUGUCUUGUUGAGCCCAAGAUGCCAGCCCGAUCUGGUAAUUCCAUUUUUGUAAAAGAUCAGAUGGCACUUCUUAAGGAGCAAGUCCCAAAUGCAAGGAACCGCUUCCUCAAAGCCAACCAAAACUGGAAUGACCUCUCCACAGAGGAGAAGAAAUGCUACAAAAUAAUAGUACAACAAAACGCAAAAAAAUAUUCAAUGGACCUGCAUGAGUGGUUUAAGACAUUGACGGCAGCAGAACAGGAGGGAUAUAGAACAUCUAACCCCAGAAAAUAUAAGUACAUUGAAGCCAUACAUAGCAACCAUGAGAGGGAAGAACAGAACAAUCAUGAUAUGGAAGACCAGAACAAUCAUGAGGUGGAAGACCAGAACAAUCAUAAGAGGGAAGAACUUUGCCCAAACAGACCGUCAGAUUCAGAAGAUGAAGACAUUGAGGACAGCAGCAGUGACGAAGAAGAGGACGAUCUAAACAGUGAUGAGGAUGAGGAGGAAGACGAGGGUGUCAUCACAUUUGAGAUGUAUUAG
rnacentral:lncRNA from 1 species